AUUGAACGCUGGCGACAUGCCAUACACAUGCAAGUCGAACGGCAGCACGGGUGCUUGCACCUGGUGGCGAGUGGCGAACGGGUGAGUAAUACAUCGGAACAUGUCCUGUAGUGGGGGAUAGCCCGGCGAAAGCCGGAUUAAUACCGCAUACGAUCUACGGAUGAAAGCGGGGGACCUUCGGGCCUCGCGCUAUAGGGUUGGCCGAUGGCUGAUUAGCUAGUUGGUGGGGUAAAGGCCUACCAAGGCGACGAUCAGUAGCUGGUCUGAGAGGACGACCAGUCACACUGGGACUGAGACACGGCCCAGACUCCUACGGGAGGCAGCAGUGGGGAAUUUUGGACAAUGGGCGAAAGCCUGAUCCAGCAAUGCCGCGUGUGUGAAGAAGGCCUUCGGGUUGUAAAGCACUUUUGUCCGGAAAGAAAUCCUUGGCCCUAAUACGGUCGGGGGAUGACGGUACCGGAAGAAUAAGCACCGGCUAACUACGUG
rnacentral:rRNA from 1 species